GCCAAAAGGCGCUUAUUGAAUUUAUUCAAUAGGCUUCUUGAGGAUAAUAUUGUCCCACAUGACUGGAGACAAGUAAGAGUUAUCGCCAUUCAAAAACCAGUGUAACGCAUCAGAAGAAUUUUCUUACCAGGUAAAGCAGGAAACCUAAAUAAAUAAAAGAUAAAGCACCGAUCGAGUAGGCCAGACAUUCUGGCGCAGAUAACGUUUUGAGCGUAGGGAAAGGACCGAUCGAAUAGGCCAGCCAUUCCGGCGCAGAUAACGUUUUGAGCAUAGGUUAUAUCAGCAAGAGGUGCAAUAAAAGUUGGAUUCAUUCCUUCUCAUUUUAUCAUACGCGAUUAGUAGAAUUUGUUAUUAGAUAUGUAAGCUGAAAACUUGUAUAAAAACCCAAGAAAAUUGAAUAAAGUCAAGCAUUCCUUGGAA